rnacentral:rRNA from 1 species
GACGAACGCUGGCGGCGUGCCUAAUACAUGCAAGUAGAACGCUGAAGCGAGGAGCUUGCUCUUCUUGGAUGAGUUGCGAACGGGUGAGUAACGCGUAGGUAACCUGCUUUGUAGCGGGGGAUAACUAUUGGAAACGAUAGCUAAUACCGCAUAACAAUGGAUGACACAUGUCCUUUAUUUGAAAGUGGCAAUUGCUCCACUACAAGAGGGACCUGCGUUGAAUUAGCUAGUAGGUAAGGUAAUGACUCACCUAGGCGACGAUACAUAGCCGACCCGAGAGGGUGAUCGGGCACACUGGGACUGAAACACGGCCCAGACUCCUAAGGCAAGCAGCAAUAGGGAAUCUUCGGCAAUGGGGGCAACCCUGACCGAGCAACGCCGCGUGAGUGAAGAAUGGUUUCGGAUCGUAAAGCUCGGUUGUAUGUCAAGAACGGGUGUGAGAGUGGAAAGUUCACACUGUGACGGUAGCUUACCAGAAAGGGACGGCUAACUACGUG